rnacentral:rRNA from 1 species
ACUUAAAUUGAAGAGUUUGAUCAUGGCUCAGAUUGAACGCUGGCGGCAGGCCUAACACAUGCAAGUCGAGCGGUAGCACAGAGAGCUUGCUCUCGGGUGACGAGCGGCGGACGGGUGAGUAAUGUCUGGGAAACUGCCUGAUGGAGGGGGAUAACUACUGGAAACGGUAGCUAAUACCGCAUAACGUCGCAAGACCAAAGUGGGGGACCUUCGGGCCUCAUGCCAUCAGAUGUGCCCAG